UACAGAGGGUGCAAGCGUUGCUCGGAAUUAUUGGGCGUAAAGGGCAGGUAGGUGGUCUCAUUUGUCAGGGGUGAAAGCCCUGGGCUUAACCCAGGAAGUGCCCUUGAAACGGUGGGACUGGAGUACUGGAGAGGGUCGUGGAAUUCCCGGUGUAGCGGUGAAAUGCGUAGAGAUCGGGAGGAACAUCUGAGGCGAAGGCGGCGACCUGGACAGUGACUGACGCUGAGGCGCGACAGCGUGGGGAGCAAACAGG
rnacentral:rRNA from 1 species